UACGUAGGGGGCAAGCGUUGUCCGGAUUUAUUGGGCGUAAAGAGCGUGUAGGCGGCCAUGUAGGUCCGUUGUGAAAACUCGAGGCUCAACCUCGAGACGCCGAUGGAAACCAUGUGGCUAGAGUCCGGAAGAGGAGAGUGGAAUUCCUGGCGUAGCGGUGAAAUGCGCAGAUAUCAGGAAGAACACCCGUGGCUAAGGCGGCUCUCUAGUACGGUACUGACGCUGAGACGCGAAAGCGUGGGGAGCGAACAGG
rnacentral:rRNA from 1 species